AUUGGGAGGCAUCCCUGCCACCUUUUGGACGGUAUGGCUCAUUAGCACAGAGUUUACCGGCUGGGCCAUGUUGGGAAGGCUGAGCUGCUCGUAAUAGUCACCAAUGAAGGUGAUGCCAAGACCUUCAAGGCUUCAGGUUCAUUUAGACUGCGCGACAAUUGGACGUGGUCUGCAUUCUGCCUAAUGAACAUUGCUCAAAAGGACCACUGGAAAACAUCACCAAAAGGGUCCGAAAAAAUAUUUGCAAAAACUCAAUAAAGAGCACCAAGGACUGGACAGAGAAUAUGAAGAAAAAUAGUAGAGUGUUUGCCUGUUUACUGAUUAUAAAUACUCUUCCUAAUGCUGUGGAAUG